AACUAACGCUAUAUAAGUAUCAGUUUCUGUACUUUAUUGGUAUGAGAAGCUUCCGGAUCCAUCAAUCCGGCAAAAUUUUGGGAGAAGGGCGGAGCCC
rnacentral:misc_RNA from 4 species